rnacentral:rRNA from 1 species
UCCAUAGACACAGAAGAAUUAUUUAGACAAAAUUGUUGAUUCCAAGAGCCAGUGAAAAGAGCAUGUUUUUGGUUUGUUAGCUGUACCCAUAACCAGCACUGGUGCCCUAGCUGAGUAAGCUAAGACCUGAAGGAUUAAAUCAAUUGAGGGAAUUCGGCAAGUUAGCCCUGUAGCUUCGGCUGAAGGGGUGUCUAUCUUUGUUUUUCGAAAUGUAAAAGCAUUGAUAGAUCUCAGUAACAAGGACGGCCCGACUGUUUACCAAAAACGUAGCCAAGUGCUAAUCCGAAAGGACUUGUAUACUUGGUGAGACCUGCCCAGUCGUGGUGUGUAAAACUCCUUUUCAAGGGAGCUAAGCCCCAUGAAACGGCGGGGGUAACUAUGACCCUCUUAAGGUAGCGUAAUACCUUGUCAUUUGAAUGGUGACUUGCAUGAAUGGUUUAACGAGGUUGUCGCUGUCCCUAAUCGGAGCCUUCUGAAAAUACCUCGUGGUGAAAAGGCCACGGACGCCUAGUGGGAAGCGAAGACCUUGUGGAACUUUACUGCAACUUGUUGUUGUGAUUUUAUUAAAAAUGCAUAGAAUAAGUAGGAGUGUUGAAGUUAUCAUUUCGGUGAUAAUGGAGCGACUGUGUAAUACUACUCAUCCUUGAUAAGAUUGCUUACUCUUUAGAGGACAGCAGCAGGCGGGCAGUUUGACUGGGGCGGUGCCCUGUCGAAAAGAUAUCGAUAGGACCCAAAGACAAGCUCAUCCAGCUUGGAAAUCUGGAGUUGAGUGCGAAGGCAAAAGCUUGUCUAACUGUAUUCUGAACAGCAAAGAAUGCAGAGGUGAAAGCCGGG